UGACAUGUGUGUUAAGAGGAGCGACGGCGUAGAGCAGUCGUCAUCUGCAGAGGAGAAGGAGCAAGAUGCCAAAGAUAGCCAAGAUGCUGCAGAGCCUAUUUCUGCUCAUUCUGAUGGGUGAGUGUUCCUUCUGCCUGGGUCGCCUCUACAAGUACCACUUUGUGCAGAAGAAUAAGACCUGGGAGGAAGCCCAGGCGUAUUGCCAAAAGAACCACACCGACCUGGCCACAGUGUACGACAGGGAGGAUGUGGAGA